rnacentral:lncRNA from 1 species
CAUGAAACUCGGGAUGAAGCUGUUCGGGACGCAAUCAGCUUGGGAGGAAGAUUGAAGUUGAUCCAGUUAGAUGAAGGAUUGAUCGGUUUGAAAGUUUGAUUUCCUUUGUCUGGGAACAGGGGAUGAUGUUCAUGGUUGAAGGAAGAUGCCGGAGGAUACGUGAAUGGGAAGAUAAGGAUGAACCGAGAUAGAAGGAGGGCUGAGAUCCAUGUUUGGGAGUUUGAGGAUGCUGCCGAUGGCUAAAUGCGGCUGGGAGAAAAUAUGGGAAGGCGUUGGAUUCGGUUGAGGACGUGGACGAAGAUGGAUCACAACGGGAUGAGAGCUGGUUUGGUUCUGUUCAUGGGAGAUCUAAUCGGAAGCUGGGAGGAGUGGUUGUGGAUGGAACUGGAUCGUAGAUGCAGGGGAUUCGAGCUUAUCCGGGCUAGCGGAAGCUGAACGGAAGGAGGCUUGGGAACGCAAUCCACGGAAUGGGGAGAGGAUGAGUUCUAGAUUUGGCUGGGAGCGCAUGGGAACAGGGGAUGAGCUUGUCCGUGGAGUUAGUCCGAGCGGGAUGUGAGGAAGAACACUCGGGAUGAGCAUGGGACGUUGAGAUGUUGACGCGGAGAAAUCCGGAAGAAAGAAUCUGCUCUUUGGAUAUGGGAGGGAAGGAACAGGGGAGAUUUGGGAAUGAUAGCAGACGUGGGCGUUUGAGAAGAUCUCUGCUGUGAACUCGCCUGUGGAUAAGAA